rnacentral:lncRNA from 1 species
UGCACUGUUGUUUCACAUUUUCAUAUGUGCAUGUUGCCUGACCUAUUUGCAAUGCAGACACGAGCAGGGAGCCAUGUUGCCAGCCCUCACAGUGCCUUCAGUGCCCCUGCACGCCUGGACAAGGCGGGUGGGGUCCACACUGCCCAGCCAUCACCACACACCCCACCUGCCACACCCACCCUUGUGCACUGUUGUUUCACAUUUUCAUAUGUGCAUGUUGCCUGACCUAUUUGCAAUGCAGACACGAGCAGGGAGCCAUGUUGCCAGCCCUCACAGUGCCUUCAGUGCCCCUGCACGCCUGGACAAGGCGGGUGGGGUCCACACCGCCCAGCCAUCACCACACACCCCACCUGCCACACCCACCCUUGUGCACUGUUGUUUCACAUUUUCAUAUGUGCAUGUCGCCUGACCUAUUUGCAAUGCAGACACGAGCAGGGAGCCAUGUUGCCAGCCCUCACAGUGCCUUCAGUGCCCCUGCACGCCUGGACAAGGCGGGUGGGGUCCACACCGCCCAGCCAUCACCACACACCCCACCUGCCACACCCACCCUUGUGCACUGUUGUUUCACAUUUUCAUAUGUGCAUGUUGCCUGACCUAUUUGCAAUGCAGACACGAGCAGGGAGCCAUGUUGCCAGCCCUCACAGUGCCUUCAGUGCCCCUGCACGCACGCCUGGACAAGGCGGGUGGGGUCCACACCGCCCAGCCAUCACCACACACCCCACCUGCCACACCCACCCUUGUGCACUGUUGUUUCACAUUUUCAUAUGUGCAUGUUGCCUGACCUAUUUGCAAUGCAGACACGAGCAGGGAGCCAUGUUGCCAGCCCUCACAGUGCCUUCAGUGCCCCUGCACGCCUGGACAAGGCGGGUGGGGUCCACACCGCCCAGCCAUCACCACACACCCCACCUGCCACACCCACCCUUGUGCACUGUUGUUUCACAUUUUCAUAUGUGCAUGUUGCCUGACCUAUUUGCAAUGCAGACACGAGCAGGGAGCCAUGUUGCCAGCCCUCACAGUGCCUUCAGUGCCCCUGCACGCACGCCUGGACAAGGCGGGUGGGGUCCACACCGCCCAGCCAUCACCACACACCCCACCUGCCACACCCACCCUUGUGCACUGUUGUUUCACAUUUUCAUAUGUGCAUGUUGCCUGACCUAUUUGCAAUGCAGACACGAGCAGGGAGCCAUGUUGCCAGCCCUCACAGUGCCUUCAGUGCCCCUGCACGCACGCCUGGACAAGGCGGGUGGGGUCCACACCGCCCAGCCAUCACCACACACCCCACCUGCCACACCCACCCUUGUGCACUGUUGUUUCACAUUUUCAUAUGUGCAUGUUGCCUGACCUAUUUGCAAUGCAGACACGAGCAGGGAGCCAUGUUGCCAGCCCUCACAGUGCCUUCAGUGCCCCUGCACGCCUGGACAAGGCGGGUGGGGUCCACACCGCCCAGCCAUCACCACACACCCCACCUGCCACACCCACCCUUGUGCACUGUUGUUUCACAUUUUCAUAUGUGCAAGUUGCCUGACCUAUUUGCAAUGCAGACACGAGCAGGGAGCCAUGUUGCCAGCCCUCACAGUGCCUUCAGUGCCCCUGCACGCCUGGACAAGGCGGGUGGGGUCCACACCGCCCAGCCAUCACCACACACCCCACCUGCCACACCCACCCUUGUGCACUGUUGUUUCACAUUUUCAUAUGUGCAUGUUGCCUGACCUAUUUGCAAUGCAGACACGAGCAGGGAGCCAUGUUGCCAGCCCUCACAGUGCGUUCAGUGCCCCUGCACGCCUGGACAAGGCGGGUGGGGUCCACACCGCCCAGCCAUCACCACACACCCCACCUGCCACACCCACCCUUGUGCACUGUUGUUUCACAUUUUCAUAUGUGCAUGUUGCCUGACCUAUUUGCAAUGCAGACACGAGCAGGGAGCCAUGUUGCCAGCCCUCACAGUGCCUUCAGUGCCCCUGCACGCACGCCUGGACAAGGCGGGUGGGGUCCACACCGCCCAGCCAUCACCACACACCCCACCUGCCACACCCACCCUUGUGCACUGUUGUUUCACAUUUUCAUAUGUGCAUGUUGCCUGACCUAUUUGCAAUGCAGACACGAGCAGGGAGCCAUGUUGCCAGCCCUCACAGUGCCUUCCGUGCCCCUGCACGCCUGGACAAGGCGGGUGGGGUCCACACCGCCCAGCCAUCACCA